rnacentral:rRNA from 1 species
CUACGGGGCGCAGCAGUGGGGAAUAUUGGACAAUGGGCGCAAGCCUGAUCCAGCCAUGCCGCGUGUGUGAAGAAGGCCUUUUGGUUGUAAAGCACUUUAAGCGAGGAGGAGGCUUACCUGGUUAAUACCUGGGAUAAGUGGACGUUACUCGCAGAAUAAGCACCGGCUAACUCUGUGCCAGCAGCCGCGGUAAUACAGAGGGUGCGAGCGUUAAUCGGAAUUACUGGGCGUAAAGCGCGCGUAGGCGGUUUGUUAAGUCGGAUGUGAAAUCCCCGGGCUCAACCUGGGAAUUGCAUUCGAUACUGGCAAGCUAGAGUAUGGGAGAGGAAGGUAGAAUUCCAGGUGUAGCGGUGAAAUGCGUAGAGAUCUGGAGGAAUACCGAUGGCGAAGGCAGCCUUCUGGCCUAAUACUGACGCUGAGGUGCGAAAGCAUGGAGAGCAAACAGGAUUAGAUACCCCGGUAGUC